rnacentral:rRNA from 1 species
UACGUAGGGUGCAAGCGUUGUCCGGAAUUAUUGGGCGUAAAGAGCUCGUAGGCGGUUUGUCGCGUCGGCUGUGAAAACUGGGGGCUCAACCCCCAGCCUGCAGUGGGUACGGGCAGACUAGAGUGCGGUAGGGGAGAUUGGAAUUCCUGGUGUAGCGGUGGAAUGCGCAGAUAUCAGGAGGAACACCGAUGGCGAAGGCAGAUCUCUGGGCCGUAACUGACGCUGAGGAGCGAAAGCAUGGGGAGCGAACAGG